rnacentral:misc_RNA from 1 species
GAUGAAGAACGUAGCGAAAUGCGAUACGUAAUGUGAAUUGCAAAUUCAGUGAAUCAUCGAGUCUUUGAACGCAUAUUGCGCCCCCUGGUAUUCCGGGGGGCAUGCCUGUCCGAGCGUCAUUGCUGCCCUCAAGCACGGCUUGUGUGUUGGGCCCCGUCCUCCGAUUCCGGGGGACGGGCCCGAAAGGCAGCGGCGGCACCGCGUCCGGUCCUCGAGCGUAUGGGGCUUUGUCACCCGCUCUGUAGGCCCGGCCGGCGCUUGCCGAUCAACCCAAAUUUUUAUCCAGGUUGACCUCGGAUCAGGUAGGGAUACCCGCUGAACUUAAGCAUAUCAAUAAGCGGAGGA